GAUGAACGCUGGCGGCGUGCCUAAUACAUGCAAGUCGAGCGAACGGAUGAGAAGCUUGCUUCUCUGAUGUUAGCGGCGGACGGGUGAGUAACACGUGGAUAACCUACCUAUAAGACUGGGAUAACUUCGGGAAACCGGAGCUAAUACCGGAUCAUAUUUUGAACCGCAUGGUUCAAAAGUGAAAGACGGUCUUGCUGUCCCUUAUAGAUGGAUCCGCGCUGCAUUAGCUAGUUGGUAAGGUAACGGCUUACCAAGGCAACGAUGCAUAGCCGACCCGAGAGGGUGGUCGCCCACCCUGGAGCGUGGACGCGGUCCAGACUCCUGCGGGAGGCAGCAGUAGGGAAUCUGCGGCAGUGGUCGAGAGCCUUACGGAGCGACGGCGCGUGAGUUAUGAAGGUGUUCCGUGCGUAAUACCCGGUUAUUAGGGAAGAACAUAUGUGUAAGUAACUGUGCCCAUCUUGACGGUACCUAAUGAGAAAGCCACGGCUAACUACGUG
rnacentral:rRNA from 1 species